rnacentral:rRNA from 1 species
UGGGGGAUAUUGCACAAUGGGCGAAAGCCUGAUGCAGCGACGCCGCGUGGGAGAUGAAGGCUUUCGGGUUGUAAACCUCUUUCGCUAUCGAACAAGGCCCGCUUAGGGUGGGUUGAGGGUAGGUGGAGAAGAAGCGCCGGCUAACUACGUGCCAGCAGCCGCGGUAAUACGUAGGGCGCGAGCGUUGUCCGGAAUUAUUGGGCGUAAAGGGCUUGUAGGCGGCUUGUUGCGCCUGCUGUGAAAACGCGGGGCUUAACUUCGCGCGUGCAGUGGGUACGGGCAGGCUUGAGUGUGGUAGGGGUGACUGGAAUUCCAGGUGUAGCGGUGGAAUGCGCAGAUAUCUGGAGGAACACCGAUGGCGAAGGCAGGUCACUGGGCCAUUACUGACGCUGAGGAGCGAAAGCAUGGGUAGCGAACAGG